ACACGACUACAUUAGAUACCCCCGUAGUCCUGGCCGUAAACGAUGUGGACUUGGUGUUGGAAUGGCUCCGAGCUGCUCCAGUGCCGAAGGGAAACCGUGAAACGUGCCGCCUGGGAAGUACGGUCGCAAGGCUGAAACUUAAAGGAAUUGGCGGGGGAGCACAACAACGGGUGGAGCCUGCGGUUUAAUUGGACUCAACGCCGGACAACUCACCGGGAACGACAGCAAUAUGUAGGCCAGGCUGAAGACCUUGCCUGAAUCGCUG
rnacentral:rRNA from 1 species